rnacentral:lncRNA from 1 species
UUCCCCAUCCGUUAAGCCGUUAAGCCGUUACCAAUAAGCCGUUAAGCUUCGGUUUGGAUUGGUUUUCGGUUUCGGAUCGGUUUUGAACACCCCUAACUGCAACUAAGAGUCGGGCCGGGUCAGACAGAUCAAAUGGGUAAUGCAAAACAGGUAAAUUAUCAUAUCCGACUCUUAUUUAAUACAAACCGACGGAUAAUAUGGAUGUUCAUCCAUGACUUCUUGAAUAUGAUCAGUUGAUCACUUUUGGGUGAGGCUUAGCGAAUUUGAAAUUAAACACAUUAGUUAUCCAUAUUCUAAGUGGAUAAUAUGAUUCUUAUCCAUAUUUGACCCAUUUUAUAAAAAUACACACACAUUAACUAACCCAUUUUUUAAUGGAUAAUAUAGGUAGAUAACUUUUUUCUUUAACCAUUUUGCCAACACUAAAUGCAACUGUAAAAAGCUCUAACCAUCCAAUUUUGAAUUAGAUAAUUCAUUAAUACCUGUUCCACAGAAUUACAGCUGAAGAAUAGACUUAAAAUUUUGGCCAAUUUUGAAUUAGUUAAUUCAUUAGGAACUGUUCCAGAAGAGACGUGGGGUUACCCCACUUCUUUCUUAGCAAUGAAAUGAAUCCUGCUGUUCCUCUCACAACAUGAGAUAAGCAAAGAUGAAAGCUUUGGCCGAUGAAGUUUGAAACUUAAAAACUGUCGAGAAAUAGAUAAACUAAUAUGGAUACAAGGUUGUAACAUGAUAAGUAUCUGGAUCAUACAAAAGAAACUAAUAAAUAAGUAAUUUUGGAGAGAUUCCAUGCUGAAUGCCACCUCGAGGCCAUAAUACAAAUGGUCCACUAGAAGUCCGAAAUGCAUUUCCACGACAUUGAGAGUAAUAGCAAUUCGCCGUUGGCAAACCUAUAUUUUGGUUGGAUAUUACAAAUCCAAGGUUCUUCUAUAGUUAGCAAUGUUAUCGAUUGUCCGUGUUCAAAGCAACGAGAAACUGGAAACCAGUAAGAAGAAGAGANNN